rnacentral:lncRNA from 1 species
GGCAAGGCAAACUGACUGAGAGUUGAGACCUGGAAACAGGAAACUUGAUCAGCUGACCCAAAAAGGCCAAAACGUGCAAAAAUUGUUUUUCUGGAUCAAGGAAAGGAAGUAAUUAGAAGACGACAAUGCGAGUUGAAUUGAUCUUUGAGAUGGAGUUGAUAGUUUGCUUUUAAAGUGACUAUGGUUGAAGAGACUAGAGAGAUGACUGGAUAGGAUGUGUCUAUUUAGUUUAAAAACUUGCAUGCUAUUAAAUUUUUUAAAUCGAAUUUAACCCAUGCUAAUUAAUGGGUUAAAUUGAAACAUGUUGAGAAUAUCCUACACUUGAGUAUCCAAUUUUCC